GAUUCGUCACACUAUCAUUAACUGAAUCCAUAGGUUAAUGAGGCGAACCGGGGGAACUGAAACAUCUAAGUACCCCGAGGAAAAGAAAUCAACCGAGAUUCCCCCAGUAGCGGCGAGCGAACGGGGAGGAGCCCAGAGCCUGAAUCAGCAUGUGUGUUAGUGGAAGCGUCUGGAAAGGCGCGCGAUACAGGGUGACAGCCCCGUACACAAAAGCGCAUGUGCUGUGAGCUCGAUGAGUAGGGCGGGACACGUGGUAUCCUGUCUGAAUAUGGGGGGACCAUCCUCCAAGGCUAAAUACUCCUGACUGACCGAUAGUGAACCAGUACCGUGAGGGAAAGGCGAAAAGAACCCCGGCGAGGGGAGUGAAAAAGAACCUGAAACCGUGUACGUACAAGCAGUGGGAGCA
rnacentral:rRNA from 1 species